GCCCGUAUGGUAUGCUGGCGGUAUUGGAAACAACUGCAACGCGUUCUCGAAGGCGUAGGACAGCUAACCCAUGCGGGUUU
rfam:Flavobacterium spartansii strain MST NODE_1_length_1308521_cov_54.5264, whole genome shotgun sequence.